rnacentral:rRNA from 1 species
CGGACCGGCGCACGGGUGAGUAACACGUAUGCAACCUGCCCUCUUCAGGGGGACAACCUUCCGAAAGGGAGGCUAAUCCCGCGUAUAUCGGUUUCGGGCAUCCGAGAUCGAGGAAAGAUUCAUCGGAAGAGGAUGGGCAUGCGGCGCAUUAGCUAGACGGCGGGGUAACGGCCCACCGUGGCGACGAUGCGUAGGGGUUCUGAGAGGAAGGUCCCCCACACUGGGACUGAGACACGGACCAGACUCCUACGGGAGGCAGCAG